rnacentral:rRNA from 1 species
UCCCAGACUCCUACGGGAGGCAGCAGUGAGGAAUAUUGGUCAAUGGGCGAGAGCCUGAACCAGCCAAGUCGCGUGAGGGAGUACUGCCCUAUGGGUUGUAAACCUCUUUUGUCGGGGAGCAAAAGCCGGACGUGUCCGGCUGUGAGAGUACCCGAAGAAAAAGCAUCGGCUAACUCCGUGCCAGCAGCCGCGGUAAUACGGAGGAUGCGAGCGUUAUCCGGAAUUAUUGGGUGUAAAGGGUGCGUAGACGGGACAGCAAGUUAGUUGUGAAAGCCCUCGGCUUAACUGAGGAACUGCAACUAAAACUAUUGUUCUUGAGUGCAGGAGAGGAAAGCGGAAUUCCUAGUGUAGCGGUGAAAUGCGUAGAUAUUAGGAGGAACACCAGUGGCGAAGGCGGCUUUCUGGACUGUAACUGACGUUGAGGCACGAAAGUGUGGGGAGCAAACAGGAUUAGAUACCCUCGUA